rnacentral:pre_miRNA from 15 species
UGGACUGCGACGUACCUGGUUGUAGUCGAACCAAAUUGUUUUUGUUGCAAAAUUUGGUCCCCUUCAACCAGCUAUGUUCUUCCUCCAGC